UGUUUUGGUAAAUUUGUCGUCUGGUUUGUAAGGAAGUGAUUAUUGUAAAUUUAAAAGUUUACAGAUGAAUUCAUUUAUAUUAUGAUAAAAAUAUAUUUAAAAAAAUGCACAAACAUCAUAAACAUAAAAGUAAAUGUAGGCAUAGAUACGAAGAAGACGAUAAAUUACAAAAUACGUCCAGACAUAAGUCAGAAAGUGUGGAAAGCCCUAGAAACAAGUAUCAAAAGUCGGAGUGUUACGCCGAAUUUGAUUGGAGUCGUCACAAAUCGACGUUAAAUAAAAUUUUCUUUAGAGAUCAGGAUAUAAUAAAAAGAGGCACUGAAGAAUAUAAUGAAUUUUGGCCAUUUUUAAGAAAAUAUGAAGCUGUACAAAGAAGAAACUAUGAAACAAAGGCUUCUAAAAAUUUUGAAAGUGGAAAAAAUUCAGACUCCCAGGAAAGAUAUGAUGGACAACGUAAAAUUAAUUUCAAAUUUAAUACCGAAGAUGUAGAUGAAUUAAUGACACGAGGAUUUCUGUUUAAGGAUGAUGAAGAUGAGAAUCAAAUUUCUAAAGAAAAAAUAUUGGAAUUUCAGCAUAUCCUUUUAUUAUAUAUAAACUUUUUACAAAAACAAAAAUUUAAUAAAUUGCAGAAAUUACGAGAAUCACAAGCAAAUCUUCCAAUUGCAAAUCACAGAAAGGAUAUUUUAGAUGCAGUUUCUAAGAAUCAAGUAGUAUUAAUAGCAGGUGAUACAGGCUGUGGCAAAUCUACUCAAAUUCCUCAAUAUUUAUUAUCUGCUGGUUAUAAGAACAUUUGUUGCACGCAGCCAAGGAGGAUAGCUUGUAUAUCUCUUUGUAAAAGAGUUUCGUAUGAAACUUUAGAUGAAUAUGGUUCAGAAGUUGGAUAUCAAAUCAGAUUUGAAAAGGACAAAACACAAUUUACAAGAAUUCUAUUUUUGACAGAAGGGUUAUUACUUCGUCAAGUAGCAACUGAUUCAUUAUUGUCUUCAUAUGAUGUAAUAAUUUUAGAUGAAGUUCACGAGCGACAUUUAUCAUGUGAUUUUCUUAUUGGCAUAGUUAAAUGUCUUACUUAUCAACGUCCUAAAGUAAAGAUUAUUUUUAUGUCUGCUACUAUAAAUAUUCAACUGUUUGCUAAUUAUUUCAAAAAUUGCCCUGUUAUACAAGUUCCUGGAAGAUUAUUUCCUAUUGAAGUCUAUUAUAGACCAAUAUUAGUAGAAAACAAAUCUUCUAAAACAAGUCGUUUGAAUCCAGGUCCAUACAUUCAGAUUUUACAAUUGAUUGAUCAUAAAUAUCCUUCAAAUGAAAGAGGUGAUGUUCUAAUGUUUCUCAGUGGAAUGACAGAAAUUUCAACAGUGGUUGAUGCUGCAGAAAUGUAUGCAGAACAAAAUAAAAAAUGGAUAAUUUUGCCAUUACAUAGUACUUUAUCAAUUGAUGUACAGGACAAGGUAUUUGGUAUAGCACCUGAAGGUGUAAGAAAAUGUAUUGUGUCAACAAAUAUUGCCGAAACAUCAGUGACCAUUGAUGGUGUACGAUUUGUUGUCGACUCUGGAAAAGUGAAAGAAAUGAGUUAUGAUCCUAACUGCAGGAUGCAGUGCCUUAAAGAAUUUUGGAUUAGUCGUGCAAGUGCAGAACAAAGAAAAGGACGUGCAGGGAGAACUGGUCCUGGAGUUUGCUUUCGUUUAUACUCAGAGAAAGAAUAUGAUGCAAUGGAUGCAUAUUCUUCUCCAGAAAUUCAGAGAGUUCCUUUGGAUUCACUGUUGUUGCAAAUGAUAUCCAUUGGAUUACCAGAUGCUCGCAAAUUUCCUUUUUUGGAAGCUCCAUCAAAUUCUAGUAUUGAAAUUUCCUUACAAAAUCUGAAAAAUGAGGGUGCCUUAACUGAUGAUGAAACAUUAACCGUCAUGGGACAAAUGUUAUCACGUCUUCCAGUAGAUGUCACAAUUGGUAAAAUGUUAAUUUUAGGAUCAGUUUUUCAUCUUGUUGAUCCAGUUAUGACUUUAGCUGCUGUUAUAAGUGUACAAUCACCAUUUACAAACCAAUCACUGAAAAAUCAAGAUAUAAUUGCUGCUCAGAAGACUUUGCAUUCUACUCAGGGUGAUCCUUUUACAUUAUUAAAUGCAUAUCACAAAUGGUUGGAAAUUAAAUCUGAUAGGAAUGAGAAUUCACGUAAAUGGUGUAAAAGACAUGGAAUUGAAGAGCAAAGAUUUUAUGAAGUUACGAAAUUAAGAAAACAAUUUAGAGAGUUGUUGCAGGAUUCGGGAUUGAUUGUAAAUAGAAAAAGAAUGAGCACAAGUACUCAGCGGGCUUAUAGGCAUGGAGAACUAAAGCAUUUAAAAGAUUUAAAACGCAGUUUUCAUCAUGCACCAAGAUCUUCCAAAAUGUUAAAAUUAGAUAGUGAAUUUGUUAUAGAAAAUGAAAAUGAUGAUAAUGAUGAAAUUGAUAUUAAAGAUAUAGAAUUUCAGAUAUCAAAUGACAAAUUACAAAUUAAGGAUUUAAUGGAAUCAAGUCAGACAUACAGUUACAAAGAUUUUCUAUUAUUAAAAUUAAUUCUAUGCAGUGGUUUGUAUCCUCAGCUAGCACUAUCUGAUGAACAUAAUUCAUAUAAAACUGAUUCUGAACAGCUAUUUCAUACUAAGGAAAAAUCAUUUGUGUGUUUACAUCCAAAUGGAGUAUUUGCUCUUCAGCCGGAUAUACUUCAUUUAAGUGAGUUAGAUAUUCAACAAAUCCAUGGAUUUCAUUCACAGAUUCCAUUAAGUAUCAAACAUCAGUUGAUUGCUUUCGUAUCUUUCUUAGAGACAACAAAACCAUAUUUAGUGAAUUGUGUACGAAUUCCAGCAGCUCAUACUCUUUUAUUAUUGGCACAUUCAUUGGAUACUAAUCAUGACUUCACUAAAGUAAUUGCUGAUUCCUGGUUAGAACUAAGAUUUCCUGAUGCCGAAGAAGCUCAGAAUUUUUUAUUAUGCAGUAUCAAACUUCGUGACAUGUGGCAAGAUCUUCUUCAACAGAAAUUAAUGGAAAAUCAAUCACAUGAUGAAAAUUAUGAAGAAACUCCUGAAAUUAAGAAGAAACGAACAAAUUUGGAAAGAUCAAUUAAAGAAUUUCUUCAUAUAGAAAUAUUAUUCACUGUUCGACGAUUGCUCUCUGCAGAUUUGAAAUCAUUGUAUAUUGGAUCAUCAGAAAGUAACUGUGCAAUAAAUCCAAAUAUCUUAAAAGAUGUUACAGAGAAUAUUCCACAUCCUGUGAAAGGUGGUCUAAUUUUAAGAGACUACUUAACUUACAAUUGUUUAUCUGAUAUUGAUCAAAGUCAUUUACAAUAUCUUCAAAAGCAUUGGAAGUGUCCUCGUUGUGAACAGGAAAUGUUAGUUACUUUAUUAGAACAAAUAAGACAUCAAGAAAAAUGCCAAAAAGAAAAUGAAAAGCAGUCGAUGGAUGAUGAUUACUCAAAAAUGGAUCCUUUGAAGAAAGAAUUUAACUGUCAGAAGUGCCAGAAAGUUCUUUAUCUUACUGCUGUGGAAAUAUUAAAGCAUAAACAAAAACAUUUGUCAUCUGAAAAUAUUUUACCGAGUUGUUCUAAUUCAUCCAGUAAUAAAUAAAAAGGUCAAACAGGAAAAAAAAAAAAUGUGUGUCCCAACAAUAUAUAUAAAGCAAUGGAUGACAUAAUAUUUAUACAAGGGCACAAUUAUGUUCCCUGGUCUUUAUUAUGGCCAUGAUAAUAAGUACUGUGCAGUUUUUCUCAAGUUAUUUUCGCACUCGUUUCAAAUCAUCCGAAAAAAAUCCAGUUCAAAUUCCAUUUUGGAGUACAGGAAGUGAAUUUUCUGCGUGUAUUCACCGAGCAAAACAAGAAAAUUAGGUCUUCUUCUAAGGAAAUGUUAUAUUUAUAGAAUUUUUCAAGCAAUUUUUCGAGUUAUAAAUAGAGAUAAAAAUGGAAAUAUUUUCGAGAGUAACGAACGAUAUUCAUCAUAUUCACAUCAUAUUUUUAUACAAGUAACCGG
rnacentral:misc_RNA from 1 species